rnacentral:tRNA from 1 species
ACUCUCUUAGUAUAACAAAUACAACUGACUUCCAAUUAGUAGAUCCCGAUAAAAUUUCGGAAGGGAGUA